UUAGUGUUUACUAUCGAUGUGUUAAAAGUGAAGUAAAUAGAACAUACGGAUUGCUUUUAAUAGAAAUUUGUCUCCGUCGAUGUCAUUUUUUUGUUCUUUCUUUAAAGCUUCAAUUUCGUUUUGUAUCGUGUAGUGAUUUUUGCCUCUUCGUCUUAACCAAGAUAACGCUUUUGCUGCCUCCUAUUGUCUUUUAUAUUACUACAGACCUUUUUAGCGUUUUAAUACAUGUUGAAGUUAUAUUAAUGUACCCCGAUGAUUUUUGGUCUAACAUGAUCCUCGGAUUUAUCUGGACUUUGAAAUAUUUCAUUCUUAUAGCUAUAAUUAGCUUUAAAACAGAAGAGUUUUUUACGACAUUAAAAAAUACUCAAGUUAUAUUUCUUUUGUCCAACGCGACAGAAGAA